GGAAGAGUCAGUGCCUAGAGGAGCUGCCUGUGAGACACAUCGAGGAGGGUGGCUGGUUUGAAAUGUUGUGCCAGCUCUGCUCUGAACCCCUGUACCAGAGUGUGAGAGUAAGACUGGAAGGAAGAGAGAAGUUGCUGGCUCUUUCAGGAACAGCAGCAGGUUUUUAAAGGAUAAAACUGCUGCCAUAAAAAAGGUCAAUACCCUUAAAAUCUCUGAAUAUUCCAGCUAAAUCAAUAAAUGUGACAUUCCUCUGGUUUGUGUCUGACUCAGUGUGCAGCACUA